UCCCAAGUCCACUUCUCUCACUAUUAAUACCAUAUCAUACCAAGGCUUGAGCUCUCACGCUCCCCCAAGUACACUGCUCAACUGUGACAUUUCCUUAGUUGAUAACACUUGGGCAAAACCAAAAACAGAAGCAGAAGAUGAAGCUCUACUUUCCACUUCUUCUUCUUCUCUGUUUUCUUCUUCUUGGCUCCUCUUUGAUGGAUCCAGCCAGGGCUCAAGCUAAAUCAAAAUAUUGCAGUGACAAGUGCUCAACGAGGUGUGCAGUAGCAGGAGUUCAAGAUCGAUGCAUCAAGUAUUGUGGGAUAUGCUGUGAAGAGUGCAAGUGUGUUCCUUCUGGGACUUAUGGCAACAAGCAUGAGUGCCCUUGCUACAGAGACAAGAAGAACAAGAAGGGCAAGCCCAAGUGCCCUUGAACUCAACAUCAUCAACUAUUUCAGAGAGAGAGAGAGAGAGAGAGAUUUGGUUUGAGUGUGAGUGUGAGUGUUACUUUGGUGGUGUUUGUGUUGUAGAAAGUUUAAAAAAUCUAUGGUGAGUGUUUUAGUGAGAGAGAGUUGUGGGCUCUGCUUAGCAAGAGUUGGUUGUUGAUCAUCCUUUCUGUCUUGAUGGGUCUAGUAGUAGUUUAUGUGUGAUCGUGAUGAUUAAUGUCCAAUGGCCGUUGGAUUUGCAUAAAAUGAAUAAUAUUACUAGUUAUGCCCACUUUUAGUAAAUGCCUUGAAUAAGUUUGAUUAUUCACAUAAAUCUUGAAUAAGUGUGUAAUUAUUUUGUAAAUAAUACAUGAUCAAAACUUGCAUAUUUUGUCAUCCCAGAUUCAACCUAAGACAAGUUGUCAAUUGCUGAUAUAUUAAUGAAAGUUGGAUCCAUGUGAUAUCGGGAGAUGGGGAUUUCUUACACACACGUCAAGAUGCUGAUGGGAAUUCAACAUGAGU